rnacentral:rRNA from 1 species
AUUGAACGCUGGCGGCAGGCCUAACACAUGCAAGUCGAGCGAGCGGCGGACGGGUGAGUAAUGUAUGGGGAUCUGCCCGAUAGAGCGGGAUAACUACUGUAACCGGUGGCUAAUACCGCAUACUAUCGGAUGAACCCAAAGGGGAUUAGCUAGUAGGUGGGGGAAAGGCUCACCUAGGCGACGAUCUCUAGCUGGCCUGAGAGGAUGAUCAGCCACACUGGGACUGAGACACGGCCCAGACUCCUACGGGAGGCAGCAGUGGGGAAUAUUGGACAAUGGGCGCAAGCCUGAUGCAGCCAUGCCGCGUGUAUGAAGAAGGUCUUAGGGUUGUAAAGUACUUUCAGCGGGGAGGCGUUACCCGCAGAGAAAGCACCGGCUAACUCCGUGCCAGCAGCCGCGGUAAUAC